AGACAAGCCCAGGUUAGAAGAGAGGUGGGACUGGGAGGGUAGCUGAAACUGCAGCCACUGUCAGUGCUCUACAUGGAAAUGUUCCUGUGUUUAAUAGCAGGGUGCUAUUAAAGAGCACCUAAUAGCGAGGGGCUUUGGAUGCCAGUGCUGGAGCAGAACCCCCAUCCCAGGUAAGUGUGCAGGAAAAGGCUGGGGACUGUUGGUUCAGAGCCUGGAGGAAUCUCCUGGCAUGCUGGUACUGAAGCACCUUGCACAGUGUGGUGAGAACACGCAGCAGUGUCUGGCUCGGGAGGUGGCCCUGGCAGCACACGUCAUGCAGUGAUUUAUGGCAUCUCUGGUGCCCUUGUAUUUCAGUGCUGCAGUGCAUGGCGAAUAUAAAAUCACUUCUGAAUUGAGGGAGGGCCAGAUGGGUGGCAAUAAUGCAAUUAUAUCUGUCAUGGACAUAAUCACAUUAACCUCGGUGUGCCCAGUACCUCUGGAGAAAAACCCAGCUCCUUAUCUGCAGGUGUCUGCAGACCGAACUCACCUCCGUUUGUGUUGAAAAUUAAACUCAUGGCUUUUAAAUGCUGCUUCUGAUGAUAACUAAGAAGAAUGGCAGAGCCCCUCUACUCUAAAGAUGUGUAUUUACUGUACUGAUCCCUGCUGGCCCCACUUCAGGCACAAUUUUCAGCUUCCAAACACCAUUUGACACCCUGUGUUUUUUGCUGUCCCUAUCUGAAAUCCAGCUUUCCUGGGCCAGAUCGUCAGUUCACCCACACCAGCACACAGACCUGACAGUGCAGCUACAGCACGUGAUCCCAGUCCGAGAGGCAGCGUGCAGACUGAAGCUCACCUACACUGUGUAAUUAGACACCUAAUUAACAACCUUAUCUCUUGAUAGAGUCGGAGGAGCCGCAGGCAGUGAUUGAGACAGCAGGGGAGCCCAGGCAGCUCCUCUGGGAGCCCGAUGCUGAAGGACAGUGUGGUGCUGUGGGUGCGUUACCCAGGAUCUGCAGAGCAGAACAUGGCUCUCCAAUUCCCCAGCACCCUUUGUGAGCUACACUGGCCUUGCAGGCAGACAAUGGGAUGGCUAUUCACGUGCAUCAGGCUUCUGAUGGUAUUAGACAGACCCCUGAUUAAACCACAGCCUUUUGAUCCCCCCAUGAAUUAUUACUUGGAGUCAAGCUCUUUAAAAAUCUAUCUACAGCCCCACUGUGCGUGCAGCUGGAGCUAAAUUUGCCAUAUACAUAUUUUAUUUAUAGGGAGGAGUGACAGCGAUGGGCGAGGAGGUGGCAAGCAGGCAAGCAGCACGGUGCUCAGGCAGCCCGCAUCCUGCAGCAGCUCCUCCAGCCCCUCACUGUACCCCCAGCUGCUCCCCCCACGCAGCUCCACCAGCCCACGCUCAGCUCUGCCAGGCCGCUGCUCCUCAGCUGCUGGCACAAAUGUCAAUAAAACCCAGAGAGAUUGUUCUGCCCGCUAAAGAGCUAUUUAUCUUUCUUUGUACACAAAUGGCUGGGAAAAUACUAGCCGAGCUUUCCAAGAAAGAGAGAGUAAUACAGUGUAUUUUCCCCUUGUAGCAACAGGGGUGCAAUUACAUUCAAACAAGGCUCUUUACUCAGAGUCUUUAAGCGAAGUCCAAGUCUGGGUUUUGCAGAGAUAUUUUCUCUUUCUAUGCUGGACAGAAAGCCAACAGCCGGGAGCAGCAGUGCACGGCCGGGCUGCCAGGAGCACAGAGGAACCUCCAGGAGGUACCACAGCACAGCCUGACUGCAGGGCAGCCCUGGAGGGCACCGCUGGCUGCCAAACCCUCACCAUCUCUGCAUGGAGCAAGCGGAUGGGAUGCAGCUUCCGUCAUCUAAUGGCUGUCUUUCAAACAGGACUCAGUAUUCCAAUAAAAGUGACUUGCUGGACAAAAAGGCCAGUGAAGAAAAGCAAUGCCAGGAUAGCGCAGUGUCUCCCAGCUGAGCUGUCCCAGGUGAGCAUGCAGCUCCCAGCUCUCCUUACACUGCUGCCACAGAGCAAGGUCUGUUCCCUGCAUGUAUUUCCUACCUUUGAAUUGCUUUGAACUUUUUUUUUCCAAAUUUGCAAACGCAGCAGUGUUCAUCUCUGCUGCCUUCUGAGUUUCAAUAGUUAUUCUCCUGCUGCUUGUGUAAUCCUAUGAGAAAAGCUCCUCUAGAUGUUAAGAAAUCUGAAGCUGCCACUGUAAGUGGAGAAUCAGUGGGCAAACCUGGCAGUUUUAUUAGCUAUGGAGACAAGAGGGGACAUUUUAUAAAAAAAUGCAGGUCAAAAAAGGGCACUGGAUCUCAUUUAAUUUAGCAACUUCAUUAAUUCUAUUUCUGAUGCAUCUGACCUGGAAUACUUUCUAUUUUUGCUUUUAAAUCCCUGUGUUCAAGUCUCUGCCUUUCAUAUGGUCCCACACACUGCUGGCAUGUAAUAUUAACUCACCCGAGAGCUAGAGACUGUAUGACUGGAAAUGUUAAUGGCACUGUGCAAUGCAUAUUUCAUCUGAUAAUUCCACCCAAGCAGAGAUAAAUUACACAUGCAGUUACCAGCUUCCAUCUGCUGAUGAAAGAGAUGGGCUAAUGCACAUUUGAAAUCAUGCGCAGUUUCCAGCACUAUGAACAACUUGUGUGAACAGAGUUUUUCACAGAAGCAAUUCUUAAUGUGAUUAAUUACUGAAGGUAUCAGGGCCUUUGUUAUGCAAGUGAGAACUGUCAUAAAGCAGAGUUUGCAGGUCCUGGAGGUAGACUUUGUCCAUGAAGUGCACUUCCCCAUGAACACGGAGCAGAAGGAGCAGCCCUGAGGGAGCUGCAGGAGCCAGGGCCCUCCUGGAACCUGGGGCAGAGGCUCGCUGUGCUUCUGAAGCAGGAGAACCCCUGCUGGAAGUACUUUGUGCACUCAAAGGACGAUGUCACAGGUCUGCUAAUGGCCUGUUUCUUCCUGCAGCUGUACUUUCCUCAGCCAGCCCAGGCUGCUGUUCAGUCCCGCUCCCAGUGCAGCCCUGGCACUAUGGGCAGAGGAACCUCUGCUCAGCUCUGCUCCCCUGCAGGAGGCUCUGUGGGAUCCUUACCACUGCAGCAGGAUCUUGGUUGGACCAGGACCCUGACCCCACCAUGCCAAGAGGCCUCUCCCCGUCCCAUUGCCUGAUGCUGACUGAGUGCCAUGCUAGGAAUUCAUCCCACGGCAAAUCCAAGUAUUUCAGGUUCAGGAAUGUUAUUACCACCAAAUCAAACUGGCCCGAAUGGCGUGGGUACAGGGUGUUAUCUCAACUUCUGUUUGAAUUAUUGAUGCUUGGAGGGCUGCUGCUUGGGAAUGACGCCACCACCGCCCCAUGCACUUUCCUCUCAGCAAGCGCAGAUUACUGGUGCUUUGGAUCUGACAAAUGAGCCCUGUCAGUUCCCAUACCCUUUGUGCCACUGGCUGUAGCUCAGCCUUAAGUCCCACCAGAGAGGCACUGCAUGCCCUGCUGCACACCUCUGCCAGGACACACACACAGGUCACCCUGAGCCCCGCAGGCUCUGUCUGGAAGCUGCUGUCUCCUGCCCUUCUCUUUGCUCCUCCUGGAAAGCCAGCACCACUGGAAUCCUCCGUGGGGCCACGGGGCCGUGGCCGGUCUGAAUGGGGCUGGGCAUAGUCUGGGGCUGCGCACAGUAGCUGGGCAACACACACACAAAGCCCGGCAGGAAGCGGCGCGGCCCAGAGCGCACCUCCUGCCCACUGGAAAAAUAAGAAUUUAUGGACCUUGGAAACAUAAAACUGCCCAGGGGAAAGCAGAAACCAAGCAGGGAGUACAAUAGGCAAGGAGAAUGCUGGCAAAGUACCCAAAGUCCUUUUCUUCUCAUUUAAAUGAGCUCUUUUCCCCCAGCCUGCGCUCUGCAGGCACUGCAGGCCGUCCCCGCUGUGACCUGGGGCCGGGCGCUGCCAGAGCGCGGUAGCGGUGCUGACAUCCCUGACCGCGGCCGGGGCUGCAGACUUGUGCCUGGCCUCAGCUUUGAUCUGCGUCGGCAAGGAGAGCCCUGUGGCUUGGGCCAGCCCUGGGUGACUGAUCCGUGCAGCUGCUACGUGCUGCCUGGAGCCACUGCGCCCGGCGUGGCAGUUCUGCUUAGGUGCACGAGCUGGAGACAACUUGUCAAAUAUCUAUGAUGAAAGGAUUUAUGGGAAAAGCCAGUCUAUGACUCUGUGUUUCCUCAACAGACCUCAUCCAAGGUAUGUGAAAGUGUUUCCUGGCCCUGGCUUAGCCCAGCAGGCAGGCAGUGGCCAAGAUGGGAGCUGGGAGCAGAGAUACAGGCACGUUUUUGGAGGGCAGGGGAUGGACUCCAGGACGAAGGGCCCCAGCACUUGGAUCUAGCUGAAGGCCAGCCCUCCUCAGCCCCCCCCACACCCCUCAUUGCUGGGGCUCUCUUGGCGAGCUGUGCUACACCUCCAGCUCUUACUUUGACAACUUCACAGUGACACGUGUCCACAGGCACAGGUUUACAUUCAUCUGAAGAAGUGAAGAAAGCUAACAGCUGCUCUGCAACUUUCUGCCCUGACCACAGGUCACCUCACUGACUAUUAGGCUUCCUGUUUCACCUGGACACCACACACCAGUACCAGGAUCCUGAGGGCAACAACAGGCCUUAAUGGUCCUGACCAGCCCCACCUGCAGCCUCUAUUCACACCCAUACACAAGGUAUGUAGGCUCCACUUCAGCUCAGCUCAGGGCCCUCAGCUCUCUCUGGAGCUCCAGUGUGGGUAUGUUAGUCUCCAGGUGAGCUGUGGCCAGGCCUGGCUGUGGACCUGCUGAUCCUGACUUCCCAGUGUGGCUUCAGCAGGCUGAACUAUGCUGCAGAUUGGAAAGGGGAGAGGGAUGAAAUUGCAAAAACCCUGCUUAAGCUAGCAAAGUAUUUGCAUUUGUGGAGUUUCCAGUUUGGCACUGUCAGUGCUGUAUGGGUGGCUUUAUGCUGCAGCUCUCUGCAGCCAGGUGCAUCCAAAGCUCUAGGCCAGCAGCAGGGCGCUGCAGCUGUGUGUAGCUGGUUCCUGGCUUAGCUCAUAAAUGCAGCUCCUAAAGUACCCUCUUGAAAGUUGCCUGUAUUUGGGAAAGGGUGUAUGAACUUGGCCUGACUGCUCUGAAUUCUGGCUUUGGCUGUGUUUCAGCUCUCUGCAGGGAUUUAGGCAUUUUCUGUCUCUUUUUAUGAUACUUCUUAGGGGACCGAGGUUUCUGGAAGAAGCACCACCAGGAACGCUGGGCAUGCCCGGCCUGGCUGCCUUGUGCUAACUCCUAUUUUGGCUUAGGAGACAAUCUCUGAGGUGGUUCAUAACAGUGAAAACACAAGAGUGCUUGGGGUCUAGCAAUAAACCGCCUCUAGGGUGCUGUACCACAUGCUGCCCUCCUGCCAAAGUUUUGGAAGCUGCAGAGAAGCAAUCUGUGGGACCAGGCUUUCUGGAUGCUCCCUCCUGACAACAGCUUUCAGGCUCCAGUUGUAUUAAAAGGAAGUGCUGUCUCAUUGCUUCAGCUCGGGCAGCUUGUACAGCCUCUGCAUCCCCUUGCAGACACCAUCAUCCCAGGACUCUGUCCCUCACCCUGGUGGAGUGAGGGUCCACUGAGAAAUUGAGGUAAACAAGCACUGUUUGGAAAUACUUGUUUUCAGGAAAGGAGCUGUAUGGCUUAGCAAAAUGUGUCUGACAAUUUUCUGCUUUCAUAAAUAUUCAAAACCAGCAGCACUGGGAGCUGACUAAUCUGAAGGCUUUCCCUUGAACAGAGCUUUCCUUUCAUCACGUCUUUUUCCAGACAUAAAUUCUGAGCCAUAGCUUCUCCCUAGGAUGGGCAGAUGUUAACUGGAGUCCUAGCAUGGGAAACUGAGGCAGGAUGAUUCAUCAGGAGUUCACCUGGCAAGUCAAGGCAGAGCAGAGAGCUGAAAUUGGGAGUUUCCAGCACCCGCUCAUGUGCUACCCAUCUGCAAAGGGGCUGGCAGCUGGAGGGAGAGCUGUGUGGCAGUCAGAUUCAUCUGCUGGCAGUGAUUUGCAUGGGUGAACACCACAACAGCCCUGCAAUCCACCUGUACCCUGGUGUGAGGCCCUGGUGCCUGCAAUGCGCAAAUGUUUCUGUUACUGUGCCAUGCUGUCCUUCAGCAGCUGAUCGGAGCAUCAGCUCUUCCCUGUCUUGAGUGAUUAAUUGGUUUCAGUAAUGAAGUAGUGUCUUAGGACUCUACCCCCAAGGACUCUCAUGUACCAAGCACUGAGUGUACAUGAACGUGGCUCUUAUCCCAAAGCUGCUGAGCUACUACAGGCAAAAAGUGCUAAUUUCAUCAGAAGCAGGUCAUGUUCACCUGAAAUAACCCUUGGAAGUGAAAUUGCAAUUAUACACUGGGACACCUUCAAGUAAUUCUGUAUUUCCCUAUAAACAACAAUGUUGAGACCCUGGCAAAGAAGGUCUGUUCUCUUACAUGCAGUGUUUCAUAUCCUGGUUGCCCUCUAAUCUGGUGCACAGGACAAGAGGCAAGUUAGAGACUGAAUUCUGCCCAGGCAAAGGCAGCUGGAGGGGUUGGGCUGAGAGCUGCACUGUGUGCUACAAUGGAGAGGAAGGAUCCGUGCUCCUGAGGCUCAGUGCAAGGCAGGUGUCACAUAUGGAAGGCAGAGAACAGAAGGCCUGUGUGCUCCAAGUGAUUAGUAAGUCAGCCCCUUGCUCCCAGGAGGGCCAGGUAUCCAUCCUUUCAGCCUCUGUGACUUCUGCAUGCUGGGGAGAAAUAACACACUGCUUGUGUCUGUCUGGCAUAUUCUUAUCCAAGGGAGGAGGAGGAACCUAGUUUACUGUUGAGAAAAUCUGGAGAAGCUGCAUCUGCUUGGCCACCACCCUCUUUUGGCACACAGUGCAGGGAGGGACCAUCUCCUGGCUUCUAACGUGCUAUCAUGCACUAUGUACAUUUUAGGUGCUGUCAUCCUGCCCUGUGUCUCAUGGUUUCUGCUAGCACACUACUAGAGGAUUUAGCAUUUUCUUUGCGUAUCUGCAGCAGAUGUAGGAAGCUGGACUUGGCAUCUCUAGCUUUGAGCAAGGAGAAUUCAAGCUAGAAUGAGGACAUGACCUCCAUUUGCAUUCAGAAAAAGCACUUGAUUACAAACUAGACCAGAAUGAGAAUGUGAGGGAUGCUGAGCUGCUUAAUGUGCUGCUUGGUGCAGACCAGGUUUCAUGCCUCAUUUGCUAGGUGCAAUCAGGCUUCGUUCUCUUUCACUGCAGAAAGCCCUUUGCUAGCUCAAGCCCUGGGUGCAGAUGAACUGUUCCAUUUCUCAAUGCCAGCUACUUUCACGAACAGCCUUGCCAUGUCCUGGUCUGAGAGUCAGGGACUGAAAUAAUCUGCUUUAUUCCCACACAAGGAGCCUUUCCUGUGUGGCUGUUAAUACUAUCAAUCUCCAACAGUUCCACUUGAGGAAACACUUCUCACAGAAAGCCCAGAGCCUCCAAGCACUGCACAAGUCUGCAUCUGUGAGCACCAGCAGUGCAGCAGCUCCACCCAGAACAGCCCAUUGAGCUUGGAGGCUGCCAGCUGCUGCAGGGCCACAGAGGCCAUGCCUGUAGGGUCUGUUUGCAAAGGCAGCGAGCAGUGCUCCCAGCUGAGCAGCCUGCCUCCUUAGAAAAGCCAGCAGGCAGGGCUGCUGCCCAGAUGUGGGUCGUUAGGGAUAUUCUGGAGCACGCCAUUCCGGUUGACUUGAGAAGGAUUUAAAAUUGCCAACAGACUGAAGUGAACUUUCUCUGUGGAAGAGAAGAUCUCUGAUUUCUUAAUGUGUCCACAAAAUUAUAUUCUUCCAUUUGGAAACAAGACUCUUACUAGAUGAGAGGAAAAACUCAAUGCUAAUUGUGUCAUUUCCAAAACUCAAGAAUAUUAAGCUGCUCAAGGACUCUUUUAGCCUCAGGGGAGCUAAUGAGGUUAGUGAAUCAUGAUGAGAAACACAGCACUAGUUCAGAUAGCUUCUGCUGCACUGGGCAAAGUGGGCAGAGCUCAGGGCAGCACGUGGGAAAGGCUGGACCUGGCAGCAUUCCCUGCUCCAGCUUCACCUGCCCUGGGCUUGAACACAGGGAAGCAAGAGAACAGGAGAUCAGCAUUGCCUCAGGCAAAAACGUGGAUAGAAUCCAAUGUUUCAGGUCUGGAGGUUUAGGACUCAUAAUCAUUAACUGCAGGAAGCUGCAGCAGGACCAAAGCAGCCCACGCUGCCCUGGGGUCUCUGAACCUCAGUGCUUUGUGUCCUGCAGCAGGUACAGGACAGAGCUGCCCUACUCAAAGCAAAUGACACGAUGCCAUGUUUCCUGCUCGCUGCAGGGGAGAGGGCAGGUGUGUUUAUGGAGUCUCUCUGAUCCCUCAGGAAUGGCUGUGUGAAAGCCCUUAAAGGAUUUAGCAGUGACAGAAGGCUGGAGGAAGGGGGAAGUGAUUCAGGUGUCCUGAAAAUAGUCCAUAUAACCCAUCUGGCCCAUGGAAACACCAUUUAGAGAAUGUCUUCCUGCUCCCUAAUCAAAGUAUCCCGCCCCCCAGGGAUUCAUUUGAGAUUUUUAUUCUGUAGAUUUAUCAUUCAGUUAUUUGGUGAAAACAUGAAGUAGCUUGUCACAGUACUGUGCUCAGCAGCACGGAUUCUGUUUGCCUUCAGGAUGCAUUUAGUAUAGAGCUAAAGCAGGAUGAAGGAAACAAACACAUAACCAAUCAAGCUCUUGUUAGCAAAUCUUAUUCUGCUAGGCUUAGUUUUGCGUUGUAUGGUGCCCCAGGACAGCGAUCCAUGCAGUACAGGGCGCUUUUACGCUAGGCAAGAAUCAGGGCAGCGUGUACAAAGGAGCAUCUAUGAAUGCACCCAUCCUUGUGGCAUUAGGUACAGCCAUUCUCCCACACAGACACCCAACCUUAGAACCAGAAAGGCUGACAGUGUACACCCUUAAAUGCAUGAGCAGAGCCUCCCUGCCCUCCCAGCACCAUGGAGGCACUCCAUGCUGUACUGCCCUUGUCCACACAGCUGUCACUCAGACUAGGGCUCCUCCUCAUUAACAAGCUAAUCCAAUCUGCUUGCUACUCUCUGGUUGCCAUCUCAAUUACAAUUUUUCAGACACCAAUAACGAAGCAGCUUUGAGCCAAGGCUGAUUGCACUACACCAGCAUGUAAUUUGAAAGCCAUUACAUUUCAUCUCUGUAACACUCUAGAAGCAGUAAUACAGCUGCUGAAAAAGCAACUUUAUUUCAAACCAGAUAAAAGCUUUGCAGAGAUCUCAUAUGCUGAUAUUUGAGCUAGCGAAUUCAAAAGCUUUUGUGAAAUAACGAUAAUAGAGCCACUUUAUUUUACACUUAAGAUACCUGCCUCAAUGCCAAGAUCUAGCAUCAGACAGAGUCUUGUUCUGUUUAGUGCUAACAUUUUAAUUUAGCUUUUCUCCAACAGCUGAUUUCGUUAGCCUUGAACUAAGCACCAACCCAUCAUGACUCGUAUGCAAAACAACAGGAAUGUGCCUCGCUUGUCCCACCCCUCAUGGAGGAGCCCCAGGUUUUGGCACUCUCACCAAGGCACUCAGAGGUGACUUGCCUGGAGAUGGCACGUUUCACUGACUGAUCCGCCCACCCAUCUGUUAUCAAUCCUAUCGCUGUGCUCUCUGAGCAGAGAUGGGAGCUGAAGCAGCGACAACCACCGGUCCCUGCUGGAAAACCAGGUCAUGAUGUGAGGCCAGAGAAGGAGCUCUGAGAUGUCCUCCAUUCCAUCAGCACAGUCACAUCUAACCCUGUUCAACAGCUCAGCGAUGGCAGAAAACAACUAACUGCUGUCCUGUGGCAAGAAGGCCAGAGAUGGGGUGGGUUGCAGACAAGCAGGGGCCGGGCUCUCUCCAAAAGGAGUUUGUUCCUCUCCUCUCACAACAAGUGGAGCACAGCCAGCUCCCCACCACAGCCAUGCAGCGCUGCUUAGGAACAGCGUGUGCUGCCAUGGCAAAAAGAGCUCAGCAGGAGCUUCUUCCCUUUGUGCUAUGGCAGUGCAAGCAGCAGAAAUCAGAAUAAGCUCGGGUUAGGCCACGAUGUGGCAGACUGAAUUCCUCCAGGAAAGCAUCUGCUACAUUUUUAAAGCCAGUGCUUCAGCUUAUGAAAAUUAAAUGAUCCAUACAGCGGGUAAAGCGGCAUAUAUACGAGAUGUGCUUGAGCCUGUCAAGGUGACCACGGGCUGGAGGCUACACAGAGAGGCUGAGCAAAGCUCCACAGACCCUCAUGACACAGCUGGGCCUCUGCUGCCCUGCUGGUGGGACUGGGCAGCCAUAAGAGCCCCUGUGUUCCCUGGGCCUCCCUCAGAGCCCACUCUAUGCUCCAGGCUCUGCUCAAGCUGCACAAAAUAGAAGAAAACAAACUAAUGAAGCAUUAGGGUUAAACUCAGCUGCAAUUAAUGCUUAAUUACCACCCUGAAAACACUUGCUCUACUUUGCCAGGGCCUAGAAAGAUAAAACCAAUUAGCUUAAUCUUGUGUGAUAGAAACCUUAAACUGCCUCUGAUGACUUCUGGGAAGGAAUCCCGGGAGUACCUGGAGGAGCCCUGGAGCUGAGGGCCCAGGGCUGUCAUUAGCUGAGCACUUGGAUGCUCUUCCAAAGAGGCUGAAAAGAAAAGCCCUCCAGGAACUGCAGCAGAGAAUGACUCCCAUCCAAAACCAACAGAUCCUGGCAAGCAGCUACAUAGGUCUAUAGCAGGGCAAGCAUUCCACCACUGCAUGGGAGGACUCUUACAUGUGAGCCUGUGCUUCAGCUGCAGCAGAGCCAACCGUUUAAUUAUAAUGGGAGAGGCUGCAGGGAUUAACCAAGAAAGCUGAGCUGACCGCUGUGAGUUCAGCUUCUACUUUUUUCUUUUUGCUCAGCUUUGAACACAGUAACUAAAGAAGAGCACACAGGCAGAGAAAUCUGUGCAGCAGCAAUCAUGGCUAACUUCUCUUCUGCAAUAAGAAGUGAGUCUUCCUAGGGAAACUGAAGGAAUUGCGCUCUAAAAGAAUACCACUGUCAGGUCAGUCAGACAUCUCUACCUCUGGACUCCCACCACUCAGGGAUGAAUUAAGCUGAGAUGGCUGAAGUAGUCACCCUGCCCUCCACCACCUGUCUGCCUGGUUCCUCCAUUUCUGUAGCAAGAGCAGACAAAUGACACCUCUAUUUGCUCCCAAACCACUGCAGUUCACAGCCCGGCAUGGCUCUCAUUGUGAGCUGCCCAAUGAUGUCCACCCAGCCCUCAGACUGGGAGCUGCAGCAGAGGCAGAUCUCUGCUCCUUUGCUUUACCAGAGUCUGAAGGACUCUUAACUUCCACUCAUCUGGAUAUAAACUGAUGUCAUGCCAUGCUUCAGCUACUGGCUGAUAUUUGGCCAGUUGAUAUGAUUUACUGUGUGGGUUGGACUGAACUUUCUCACUAGAAUACUGUCUUGGCAAAAUGCUGAGUCUAUGUUUAAGAGCACGAGAGCAGCAAGAAGAAUUAGGAUGAGGGUGAGACUGGAGUGAGAACCUGGUUCUUGUGCCAAGGAGAACUCAGGCCUUUCAGAUGUGUCCUGUGCUAAGAUUUAUAAAUGUUUCCGUUGGCAUACUAGGCACUGGGGUAAGCUUCUCAAUUACAUUAAGCCUAAGAAAUAUGGCAGUUAACAGAAGAAACGAGAUUCCUGCCUCCUGUUUGUUCAUCCUGGUGCUUGGAUGGGCCCAGCACCAGUAGCCUGUUCCCUUAUGAAAUGAUUAAAAUGAAUAAGCAGCUCGACGUCUGGCUGUUUUCAAAGUGUUAAUUCCUGCUCAGGUCUCAGACAGACCUUCCAGACAGCCCUGAAAUUUCUAGGCUUUGUAAAAUCCUAAGUGCAAAUUCCAGAGAAGCUGACUCUCUGCUUUGGAGGUAAUUAAGUGGAGUGACUGAGGCACUGCUGGUAGCCUGGUGUGUGUGGACACCUCUCCUGAAGGCUCUUUGGACCGUUCAGAUAGCAGCACUUCACUGGUGCUGCUGCAGGCAGAUUCCAGCUGGCCUUCUUCAGGCAGUGUUAGUGCUGGGAGCUGGGGAAAGCACGCAGGAGAUGUUGCAGUGUUAGCCCUCCACAUAAAGCCAUUCUUUCCACGGUCUCACAGAGCAAGAUUUUGUGUGUGUUUUACAGAGCUCAUCCCUACCCUGAGGCCGUGCCCAGAAGCAAUGCUAGUGAAGCUUUCCUGGCACUGUUGUUCCAAUGUUGCCAGUGCUCCAAAUCUCCAAACUUCAGUGAGAGCCUUCACCUGGCUAAGGGAGGAACUCGCUCAUUUAGUUCCCAUCUAAUAGGCAGCCAGGAGCAGAGCAUCCAGGGAGAAGGUGACCCUUCUGAAUCAUGGAGCUAUCUGGACCAUCAAGGACUUCAUGUUCUUUCCAUUAGCUGCCGUUUGAGUUCUGCAGGAAGAAAAGUCUUG